CCGAGACAGCACUGUGUGAGACAAUCCGUUUUCCUUUUGCCUGGCUCUUGUCAGUGAAAUAUGAUGGCCACAGAUGUGCCCAAAUUUGAAGAAAAAUAAUCUUUUACAUCUUGUAUGUGGAAUGUGGUCUUUCACCGUAGGAACACCAAAUAACCAGUGCAACGUUUAAGUUUCAAGCCUGACAUUGUUCACUCUGCCAGCCUUUUGAAAGCCUUCUUUUAUUAAGAGCCAGGUUUCCCACUGCUCCCCUGUGUGAGGGGAGGUGCCUCGCUGGUGCUAAGUCUGCAGGUAGGUACUUAUGAGCAGUGGGCAGAUCCACAUUCCUGCUUCACCCACCCUUCCACUCUGCUCUCCAGAAACAAAGGUGCAUGACACAGCAGUGCCAGAGAUGUUCACAGCCACUCCAGGACAGAGGAGGACCUCCUGUCUUCCAGCACUGCUCCUGGGAAAGCUCUGCCUGAGGCACGACAGAGUGAGGAAAAAGGCAGCCUGGUUCCAGCCAGGGAUGGAAAUUAUUCUGGCAAGGUGUUCGUGAACCAGAAGGUGAAAACCUGUUGGUGUCAGCAGGAGAAAGAGACUAAGAGGCAGAUGGUGUCAGUUAAAAAAGCUGGGAUCACAAGUCUGCUUCUUUUCUGAAUGAUUAUCAGGUACCCUGAUUGUGGGUUUUGGAGUAGUUAAGGCAGUCGUUUAUUCGGGUUCAUGUAAUUCUGCUCCUCUUACAGAUGGCUUUGUAACAUUCCUUUCUCAGUAGGAUGAGAGACUGAUGCCUGAAGAGAUGCUGGGUGAAUUAUAUACACUUGAGAAGGCUCUUCACACACAUGGAAUGAACACAAAGCUGAUGGAAGUGGCUGACUGUGGCUGCUAAGGGGAGUGUGGUGACCGGUCCAGGAGGAUCAAAGGGAUGGGAAUGCAGCAGAGGCUUCAGCUGACAUUGGGAAUCAUGGGACAGACCCUUUUGUUGAGUGGCAUUGCUAUGCGAACCGGUGUGAUUGUGGUGGUGGAUGUCACACAGACAUCUUCCAUCUGAUGUGACAAAAAACUACUCUGCUUUCUCCCUGCCUCACCGACAUAGAAAGUCAC
rnacentral:lncRNA from 1 species